rnacentral:lncRNA from 1 species
AAAAACAAAUUAAAAACCAAUUGUUCAGAGAACAAUUGAAGGUCUUUCCACCAAUAAGGAUCUAUUUUGAUAUGAAAAUAUUAAAAUUCAGUUGAAAAUGUCAGUUCCUAUGGCUUAAUGAUGUAUAAAUAUGAAUUUUGAGCAAAGGUCAAAAUCUAGAACGUCAAAUUUACUGAUGACCUUGACCUAUAUUUCAAGGUCAUAAACCAGGGACCCCAAAUAAAAAGACCCUAGGUCUGUAAUAUGUAUAGUUAAUGAGUUAUAUCACUUUACGUUUAAUUCUUAAUAUAGGAGGGGCAAAAACUCCCAUUUUAUGUCUACACACCCUUUUAACCAAAAUAUAUAAGUUACAACAUGUCGCAACUAACAAUUUAGUAAAAAUAAUUUGUCGGUAUCUUAUAAGGUUAAUGAAAAUUAGUGAAAAUAGGCCAAAAUCAAAAUUUAGAAUAUGACCUUGACCUUUGACCUUUACCUAAUUUUCAUUUUUUUGGACCAAUGAUCUCAAAAUAAAAGACCCUAGGUCUCUAUCACUUAUGGUUUUCCAGUUUAAAAUACAUUUCAAAAUUUCAAAUACAAAAGGGGAACUAACUCUCAUAUGAAGUCUCUAUACGGCUUCGGUCAAAAUAAAACAGAACAUCCUGAGGAUAUAACGAGCAAUUUGGUAAAAUAAAUUUGUCGUAAUCUUUUAUGGUUGCGAAGGAGUAGUGGCCACAAGAAAAACAGUGUUUGGGGAGAUAACUCUUACAACGUAAAGUAUUUGGUUACGCAGUGGUUAGUUUUAAAAGUGCAUACGCUUUACGAUAUCAUAUUCCAAAUAUCUAAGCGACAUCUUUGAAACAUCAAUACUACGCAAGAAAAGAAUUAGGCGGAAGAAAAAAAAAAAAAUAAUAAUAAUAAUCAGAAGAAA